GACGAACGCUGGCGGCGUGCUUAACACAUGCAAGUCGAACGGAAAGGCCCUGCUUUUGUUGGGUGCUCGAGUGGCGAACGGGUGAGUAACACGUGAGUAACCUGCCCUUGACUUUGGGAUAACUUCAGGAAACUGGGGCUACUACCGGUUAGGAGCUCCUGCUGCAUGGUGGGGGUUGGAAAGUUUCGGCGGUUGGGGAUGGACUCGCGGCUUAUCAGCUUGUUGGUGGGGUAGUGGCUUACCAAGGCUUUGACGGGUAGCCGGCCUGAGAGGGUGCCCGGCCACAUUGGGACUGAGAUACGGCCCAGACUCCUACGGGAGGCAGCAGUGGGGAAUAUUGCACAAUGGGCGGAAGCCUGAGGCAGCAACGCCGCGUGCGGGAUGACGGCCUUCGGGUUGUAGACCGCUUUCGCCUGUGACGAAGCGUGAGUGACGGUAAUGGGUAAAGAAGCACCGGCUAACUACGUG
rnacentral:rRNA from 1 species